AUAUUAGUAGAAAAUAGAAAAAAGAAUGGGAAACAAAAUUUCAUAAUAAUAGUCAUAGGAGAACAGAAGCAUAUGUAUCCGCUGGGUCACACUCACGCACAGGUAUUUUCGAACAAACGGAGAGCACUGAGGAAGUGUGUGUGUGUGUGUGUGUGUCUGAGGAAGUGUGCCCUAGUUUGAAUUUGAAUGCUAACACACUGCAAUUUCACUACUAGCAUUAGCAAAACGAGAAUUGGAAGUUGAGAAUUCGCAGCGAGAAAGAAAAAGAGAAAGAGACAUGGCAGAAGACAGCGAAGGGACGGCAAAGAAGGAGGAGAUUUUAGAGUCUCAGAUUGAAACCGCUAUGCGCUCUCGCGUUUCUCUCUUCAAGGAACAAUCUGACUCCUUGACGUUCGAGGGUGUUCGUCGAUUGCUCGAGAAAGACCUGGGAUUGGAGGAGUAUGCUUUGGAUGUGCAUAAGAGAUUUAUCAAGCAAUGCUUGCUCAAGUGCUUAGAAGGGGUUGGAGAUGAUGAUGGGGCAAAGAUAUCAGGGAAAGAAGGGGAAAAAGGUACAAGUACACAAGAGUCAGAAGAACCAAAAGAAGAAUGUGAAGCAAAAGAUGCGAAGGAUCUUUGCCCUGAAGAUGAGGAGAAAAUGGAAGACUCUCCAGUCUUAGGUCUUCUUAAAGAACAAAAAAGGGCUAAACUUGAAACCAAGGAUGAUAAAGGCAAUGGAACCAAAGUAGUUCCAAUUGAGGCCCUAAUUAAGAAAGCUGUUAGAAAAAGAUCUUCGUACAUCAAGGCUAAUGCAGAGAAAAUCACUAUGGCUGGUCUUCGUCGACUCUUGGAGGAAGAUCUUAAACUUGAUAAAUUUACUCUGGAUCCCUAUAAGAAGUUUGUAAGUCAACAGCUUGAUGAGGUAUUAGCAUCGUCUGAAGUUCCCAAACCUUCAAAUAAUGCUAAGAAAAUUGUUAAGAAAAAACCUGAUACCAAAGUAACUAAAAAGGUCAGCAGUGAAGAGAACUCUGAUACUUCAGAUAAGGAGACUGAUGAGGAAGAGAGUGAGGAAGAUGAAGUUAAACCUAGGAAAAAAAUUGUUCCAAAAGGCAAGGUGAAGACUUCUGUCCAACCCAAAAAGCGUAAAGGAGAGGAGACUGAUCUAUCCAGUAAGAAAAGGGUCAAACCUGCUAAAGCAACCUCAGAAGACAAUAGUGAUGCAGAAGAUGAUGGGAAGAACUCUGAAGAUGAUCAGUCCUCUUCAUCACCUGAGAAACCUUCCAAGAAGAAAGAAGUUUCAACUCCUGUGUAUGGUAAACAUGUGGAGCACUUAAAGUCUGUUAUUAAAGCAUGUGGAAUGAGUGUUCCUCCUGUAAUUUACAAAAAAGUCAAGCAAGUGCCUGAAAACAAACGAGAAGAGCAGCUAAUUAAGGAGUUGGAGGAAAUACUGUCUAGAGAAGGGCUGUCUUCAAAUCCAUCUGAAAAGGAAAUCAAGGAAGUAAAAAGGAAGAAGGCGAGAGCCAAAGAACUUGAGGGUAUUGAUCUAAGCAAUAUUGUGUCAAGUUCACGUAGAAGAUCAACAAGUAGUUAUACAUCUCCUCCACCUCCAAAGCCGAAGGUUCCAGUUGAAACUAGUGGCAAUGGGGCUGAAUGUAGUGAUAAUGAUGAUGAAGACAAUGAUAAUGAAGAGGAUGAGGAAGAGGAUAGUGGUGACGAUGAUGGAAGUCAGAGUGAAGAAUUUAAUGAUGAGAGGAAAAGGUGAGCUGCACUUAGUACACAGCUUAUUGUGAAGCAAUUUUACGGAACACUUGUCAAACUGUCUGAUGAAGAGGACAGUGAUUGAACUCGGGCAGAUUCCACAAUAAUUAUUAAGGCGAAUUUUUUCACAAUUAAUUAGGAGGUGAUGAUGUAUAAUGUAAUGUCUUGUAACGUAUUUGCUCUCUUGCUUUAUUUUCUGUUGUUCCAAAUAUAUAAUGUGGUAAUGGCCAAUACUUUUUGCUAGUUGCAGAAGUAUUAAUUUAGUUUCUUCCUUGGUCCGUUGAUAGUAACUUUUGCUUUGACAGAAUUGGUUUAAAUUUAGUAUAUUUUAUAUCCCCUA